UUCAAGGGCAGCACAAACCGUAAAGGUUACUUGAAAGAAUUUUGUGAACUCCAUGGCAGUGAUUAUAUGGAAAUGCUGCUGUACAUUUCUGUGAGGUGGCUGAGUUUGGAGAUGUGCAUCACCCGCAUUCUGCAGCGGUAUGGCCCACUCACCAGCUACUUCAAAUCUUUACAUGAGAAACAACCAAGGUUCAGGAGGAAGUCUGCCUUCU